AUGCUCCAUAGGAAGCAGAGAUACUUACAGAAUGAAAAUAAGGACAAAUAAGACUUUCUACAAAUAUCCUGGGAUGAAGGACACUGAAGGGAAAUUCUCGCUUUUGGUACCUAGCCGCCAUACCAUGAGGAAGCCUAAGUCGACUGCACAACGACCCACACUGACAGGUCCAUAGCCCUGAUGAGCCCUUGGGUGGUGGCAAGCACCAAUUUGCCCUCUUGAAAUCAGGUCCUGCGGAUCCUAGUCAAGCAGCCCCAAAUGAUGCUGUGAGGAAGAACCCACAGAGAAGUAUAGCAAUAAUUUGUGGAUGGGGCUUUAAAGCAGUCGCCUUUUGCAGGACACCUGCUUCUUUAAGAUAGUUGUAAGAAGACUACAGGCUACAUUUUCACCUCUGAAGUUGUGAAAAUAUGGUAGUAAUUAUCCAAGAUCUUUAACCAUAGUGCAAGAUAUCAAGAAGUUUGAAAUAAAGAAGAGAACGAGGUAACUUUUUGAUCUUUGGGUAAUCAGGAAACGACAAGAGUUUCUGAACCAAACUACAUUAAUCUCUUAAGUUUUCUGCUUUAUUUGAAAAUUAGGCCACUGCUUCUUUGGCUCCCUGACUUCCCAGAGCACCCUCAUCCUGAGUGUUUUCCUCCAGUAAACACUGGGCUCACCUAUUGGCUUAUUUUUAUCAUUUAAAAAAUCAAACUGCAAUCACGAGUCACGUGUUUGGCAGCCUUCUGUCUUAAAGAAGCAGCACCAGCAUACCUGAAUCCCAGGUGAGCAGAGCUCUGGCCUCAAGACGACAGGGUUGCAGCAGAAGUAGGAACGUAAUGGGCCUUGGAAGGGAAGCCUAUGCAGUGUACGUGGCCAGCACACAUCACCACACAAAAUGAUGGCACCUAGAGGCAGGGGCAGAACUAGAUGUGGUUCCCUUUAGUCCUGCGGAGCACUUUCUGAACUAGAAGAUGAUCUACAAAUAUGAGUUGUUGAAUAAACUGGUCUCAGUGAGAUGUUGCAGUAGUUCAGGCAGUGCUUACGUACCCUGGAGCCAACUCUCAUGUAUGCUAACAUUGCAAUGAAGAUCAAACAGGAAGACAGUCACCAUCAGUGAUGUCAGCUAUAUUAAAGUGAAUAAAAUGGUGGUAUUUGCCAAAAAGCACAGAAGGGCAAUAUGUCAUCCUAAGUCGAUCUAAGUAAAAAGUCAACAAAAUACCUCAAUCCCUCCCCCUACACAUAUGUGAAGCGGAUUGCUGGUCCAGGUCUUGCAGAUGAGGAAAUGAGAUGAAGAAAGUUUACUAGAGACUGUGUCUUCCUGCUGCCUCCUUGCUGCCUGGCCACUUGGAUACACCCACUUCCUGUGUGACCACACUCUCCCUGGCCACAGGUAUUGGGCCAAGGUAAAUGUUUGCUAGGGACCCCAGGACUCCAGGAGAUUGGUCUGGUAGGAAAGCAUGAGCUAUUGCAAUCUGAUCUUUCCUCUCUGGACAUGGAAUCAAAAAAAAAAAAAAAAAAAUCCAGCUGUGGGGCACCUGGGUGGCUCAGUCAGUCAAGCCUCUGACUUUGGCUCAGGUCAUGAUCUCACUGUUCCUGAG